rnacentral:tRNA from 1 species
CUUAUGUUGGCAGAUAAAUGCCGUCGAUUUAAGCUUGGCUCAUGAAUACUAUAUUCACAUAAGA